UACGUAGGGGGCAAGCGUUUGUCCGGAAUUAUUGGGCGUAAAGAGCGCGUAGGCGGUCCGGUAAGUCGGCUGUGAAAGUCAGGGGCUCAACCCCUGAAGCCGGCCGAUACUGUCGGACUAGAGUCCGGAAGAGGCGAGUGGAAUUCCCGGUGUAGCGGUGAAAUGCGCAGAUAUCGGGAGGAACACCAAUGGCGAAGGCAGCUCGCUGGGACGGUACUGACGCUGAGGCGCGAAGGCGUGGGGAGCGAACGGG
rnacentral:rRNA from 1 species